rnacentral:rRNA from 1 species
UACGUAGGGGGCAAGCGUUGUCCGGAUUUACUGGGCGUAAAGAGCGUGUAGGCGGCCAAGCAGGUCCGUUGUGAAAACUGGAGGCUUAACCUCCAGACGUCGACGGAAACCGCGUGGCUAGAGUCCGGAAGAGGAGAGUGGAAUUCCUGGUGUAGCGGUGAAAUGCGGCAGAUAUCAGGAAGAACACCAAUGGCGAAGGCAGCUCUCUGGGACGGUACUGACGCUGAGACGCGAAAGCGUGGGGAGCGAACAGG